AGCCCGGUCCGAUUUGAGUUCGAUUUUAGUCAACGCCGGUUUUCUCCUAGCUCCGGCCACCAAAACUUUCGAUCCUUAGCUCUAUGAACUCGCCUCAACCUGCUGAUCAUCAUACUAGAAGGAUCGCACCUAGAGUGACCGGUUUCACGUUCGUCGGAGCUCGACCGGUUUUCGAUCGAAAACCAAAACCUUUCGAUCGUGAUAUCUCGAGCUGUAGUGCAUCGUUUUGAUUGAUUUUUGAACCACUGAGUUCGCCUUGAUUUUCUUAACAACUCUCCAGAAGGAAUCGAGGCCUGAAGUUGCAGUUUUUACGUCGAACUAGGAGCUCGCCGGUUUCUGGGGUUUUUUCCGGCCAACCCGACUGGUUUGAGGUGAUCGACAGUUUGAUUUGGCGGACGAUUCGUGAAAUUGUAUUUUGAGCUGUUAAGAAGACGCAGCGGGAAUUUAGAGCGGGAAAUCCUACAGGUCAGGAGAACCAGGACGGUGAUCGGGCUGCUUAGAGUAGUGUUAUGUGAAUUACAGCAUUAUAUUGUGAGGUUUGUUAUGCUCAUUUAGAGCUUUGCAAUUUUACUUUGUAAGAGUGAAUUGUAAUAAUUAACUCGAGGUUUUCGAGUUUUUGUGUUGAGUGGCGAGUGGUGUGUUUGUUUGUGAGAAAAAAAUUCAGAACGUUAUUUGUAUUAAUUGUUUAUUCAUGUUUCGGAUUUGAAUUGGUUAUUCAAAAUUCGGGGC